rnacentral:rRNA from 1 species
GACGAACGCUGGCGGCGUGCUUAACACAUGCAAGUCGAACGGAAAGGCCCUGCUUGCAGGGUACUCGAGUGGCGAACGGGUGAGUAACACGUGGGUGAUCUGCCCUGCACUUCGGGAUAAGCCUGGGAAACUGGGUCUAAUACCGGAUAGGAGCCAUUUUUAGUGUGAUGGUUGGAAAGUUUUUUCGGUGUAGGAUGAGCUCGCGGCCUAUCAGCUUGUUGGUGGGGUAAUGGCCUACCAAGGCGGCGACGGGUAGCCGGCCUGAGAGGGUGGACGGCCACAUUGGGACUGAGAUACGGCCCAGACUCCUACGGGAGGCAGCAGUGGGGAAUAUUGCACAAUGGGCGCAAGCCUGAUGCGGCGACGCCGCGUGGGGGAUGACGGCCUUCGGGUUGUAAACUCCUUUCGCUAGGGACGAAGCUUUUUGUGACGGUACCUAGAUAAGAAGCACCGGCUAACUACGUG